rnacentral:rRNA from 2 species
ACACGUGGGUAACCUGCCCAAAAGUGGGGGAUAACAUUUGGAAACAAGUGCUAAUACCGCAUAACAACUACUUUCACAUGAUCGUAGCUUGAAAGAUGGCUCUGCUAUCGCUUUUGGAUGGACCCGCGGCGUAUUAGCUAGUUGGUGAGGUAAUAGCUCACCAAGGCAAUGAUACGUAGCCGACCUGAGAGGGUAAUCGGCCACAUUGGGACUGAGACACGGCCCAAACUCCUACGGGAGGCAGCAGUAGGGAAUCUUCCACAAUGGGCGAAAGCCUGAUGGAGCAAUGCCGCGUGAGUGAAGAAGGUUUUCGGAUCGUAAAACUCUGUUGUUGAARAAGAACAUGCGUGAGAGUAACUGUUCACGUACUGACGGUAUUCAACCAGAAAGCCACGGCUAACUACGUGCCAGCAGCCGCGGUAAUACGUAGGUGGCAAGCGUUGUCCGGAUUUAUUGGGCGUAAAGAGAAUGUAGGCGGUUUAUUAAGUUUGAAGUGAAAGCCCUCGGCUCAACCGAGGAAGUGCUUCGAAAACUGGUAAACUUGAGUGCAGAAGAGGAAAGUGGAACUCCAUGUGUAGCGGUGGAAUGCGUAGAUAUAUGGAAGAACACCAGUGGCGAAGGCG